AUAGGGGAGCCGGAGGGAAACCGAGUCUUAAUUGGGCGUUAAGUUGCAGGGUAUAGACCCGAAACCCGGUGAUCUAGCCAUGGGCAGGUUGAAGGUUGGGUAACACUAACUGGAGGACCGAACCGACUAAUGUUGAAAAAUUAGCGGAUGACCUGUGGCUGGGGGUGAAAGGCCAAUCAAACCGGGAGAUAGCUGGUUCUCCCCGAAAGCUAUUUAGGUAGCGCCUCGUGAAUUCAUCUCCGGGGGUAGAGCACUGUUUCGGCUAGGGGGCCAUCCCGGCUUACCAACCCGAUGCAAACUGCGAAUACCGGAGAAUGUUAUCACGGGAGACACACGGCGGGUGCUAACGUCCGUCGUGAAGAGGGAAACAACCCAGACCGCCAGCUAAGGUCCCAAAGUCAUGGUUAAGUGGGAAACGAUGUGGGAAGGCCCAGACAGCCAGGAUGUUGGCUUAGAAGCAGCCAUCAUUUAAAGAAAGCGUAAUAGCUCACUGGUCGAGUCGGCCUGCGCGGAAGAUGUAACGGGGCUAAACCAUGCACCGAAGCUGCGGCAGCGANUGCUGGAGGUAUCAGAAGUGCGAAUGCUGACAUAAGUAACGAUAAAGCGGGUGAAAAGCCCGCUCGCCGGAAGACCAAGGGUUCCUGUCCAACGUUAAUCGGGGCAGGGUGAGUCGACCCCUAAGGCGAGGCCGAAAGGCGUAGUCGAUGGGAAACGGGUUAAUAUUCCCGUACUUGGUGUUACUGCGAAGGGGGGACGGAGAAGGCUAUGUUGGCCGGGCGACGGUUGUCCCGGUUUAAGCGUGUAGGUGUGUGUUCCAGGUAAAUCCGGUUCACUUUAACACUGAGGCGUGACGACGAGGCACUACGGUGCUGAAGCAACAAAUGCCCUGCUUCCAGGAAAAGCCUCUAAGCAUCAGGUAACACGAAAUCGUACCCCAAACCGACACAGGUGGUCAGGUAGAGAAUACCAAGGCGCUUGAGAGAACUCGGGUGAAGGAACUAGGCAAAAUGGUGCCGUAACUUCGGGAGAAGGCACGCUGACACGUAGGUGAAGUGAUUUACUCACGGAGCUGAAGUCAGUCGAAGAUACCAGCUGGCUGCAACUGUUUAUUAAAAACACAGCACUGUGCAAACACGAAAGUGGACGUAUACGGUGUGACGCCUGCCCGGUGCCGGAAGGUUAAUUGAUGGGGUCAGCGUAAGCGAAGCUCCUGAUCGAAGCCCCGGUAAACGGCGGCCGUAACUAUAACGGUCCUAAGGUAGCGAAAUUCCUUGUCGGGUAAGUUCCGACCUGCACGAAUGGCGUAAUGAUGGCCAGGCUGUCUCCACCCGAGACUCAGUGAAAUUGAACUCGCUGUGAAGAUGCAGUGUACCCGCGGCAAGACGGAAAGACCCCGUGAACCUUUACUAUAGCUUGACACUGAACAUUGAGCCUUGAUGUGUAGGAUAGGUGGGAGGCUUUGAAGUGUGGACGCCAGUCUGCAUGGAGCCGACCUUGAAAUACCACCCUUUAAUGUUUGAUGUUCUAACGUGGACCCGUAAUCCGGGUUGCGGACAGUGUCUGGUGGGUAGUUUGACUGGGGCGGUCUCCUCCUAAAGAGUAACGGAGGAGCACGAAGGUUGGCUAAUCCUGGUCGGACAUCAGGAGGUUAGUGCAAUGGCAUAAGCCAGCUUGACUGCGAGCGUGACGGCGCGAGCAGGUGCGAAAGCAGGUCAUAGUGAUCCGGUGGUUCUGAAUGGAAGGGCCAUCGCUCAACGGAUAAAAGGUACUCCGGGGAUAACAGGCUGAUACCGCCCAAGAGUUCAUAUCGACGGCGGUGUUUGGCACCUCGAUGUCGGCUCAUCACAUCCUGGGGCUGAAGUAGGUCCCAAGGGUAUGGCUGUUCGCCAUUUAAAGUGGUACGCGAGCUGGGUUUAGAACGUCGUGAGACAGUUCGGUCCCUAUCUGCCGUGGGCGCUGGAGAACUGAGGGGGGCUGCUCCUAGUACGAGAGGACCGGAGUGGACGCAUCACUGGUGUUCGGGUUGUCAUGCCAAUGGCACUGCCCGGUAGCUAAAUGCGGAAGAGAUAAGUGCUGAAAGCAUCUAAGCACGAAACUUGCCCCGAGAUGAGUUCUCCCUGAGACUUAGAGUCUCCUGAAGGAACGUUGAAGACGACGACGUUGAUAGGCCGGGUGUGUAAGCGCAGCGAUGCGUUGAGCUAACCGGUACUAAUGAACCGUGAGGCUUAACCUUACAACGCCGAAG
rnacentral:rRNA from 1 species